CGCGGACGGAGCGGCCGAUGGCCGAUUAGGUAGUGGGGGGGAUAAAAGCUUACCAAGCCGACAAUCUGUAGCUGGUCUGAGAGGAUGAUCUGCCACACUGGGACUGAGACACGGCCCAGACUCCUACAGGGGGCAGCAGUGGGGAAUUUUGGACAAUGGGCGAAAGCCUGAUCCAGCCAUGCCGCGUGCAGGAUGAAGGCCUUCGGGUUGUAAACUGCUUUUGUACGGAACGAAAAGCCUCUUUCUAAUAAAGAGGGGUCAUGGCGGUACCGUAAGAAUAAGCACCGGCUAACUACGUGCCAGCAGCCGCGGUAAUACGUAGGGGUGCAAGCGUUAAUCGUAAUUACUGGGCGUAAAGCGUGCGGGGGAGUUUUGUAAGACAGAGGUGAAAUCCCCGGGC
rnacentral:rRNA from 1 species